CCUACGGGCGGCAGCAGUGGGGAAUAUUGGACAAUGGGCGCAAGCCUGACCCAGCAACGCCGCGUGAAGGAUGAAGGCUUUCGGGUUGUAAACUUCUUUCAUCAGGGACGAAACAAAUGACGGUACCUAAAGAAUAAGCGACGGCUAACUACGUACCAGCAGCCGCGGUACUACGUAGGUGGCCAGCGUUAUCCGGUUUUACUGGGUGUAAAGGGAGUGUUGGCGGGACAGCAAGUCAGAUGUGAAACCCAUGGGCUCAACCUGUGGCCUGCAUUUGAUACUGUUUUUCUUGAGUGCUGGAGAGGCAGACGGAAUUCCUAGUGUAGCGGUGAAAUGCGUAGAUAGUAGGAGGAACACCAGUGGCGAAGGCGGUCUGCUGGACAGCAACUGACGCUGAGGCGCGAAAGCGUGGGGAGCAAACAGGAUUAGAUACCCCUGUAGUC
rnacentral:rRNA from 1 species